rnacentral:lncRNA from 1 species
CUGAUAGGUUUAUCAGGGGUUUCUCUUUUUACUUUUUCCUCAUUUUUUAAGAAGUGCCUUUUGCCUCCUGCCAUGAUUCUGAAGCCUCCCCAGCCAUAUGGAACUGUAAGUCCAAUUAAACCUCUUUUUGUUCCCAGUUUCAGGUAUGUCUUUAUCAGCAGUAUGAAAAUGGACUGAUACACAUGCCAUACCUAUAUUUCUGACUUACAAAAGCAUGAGCUAAUAAACAUGUGCUGUUUUAAACUGCUACGUUCAUGCUUCCUCUCAGUAUCUGAUGACAAUGAGAAAUGCAUUUGAAGAGAUAAACACUUCCCGAAAGACCAUCAUGAUAGGAGCUGAUACUCACAGAUGCCUUAGUGAAUGAUUACGUCUCAGGAUGCCAUAAGGAAUACACAGAAGGGUACAAUCUCAAGCCUGUGCCAAUGGAAAACUAUAAUGGCCAAAUAAAUUUUCC